rnacentral:rRNA from 1 species
CCUACGGGUGGCAGCAGUGAGGAAUAUUGGUCAAUGGGCGCGAGCCUGAACCAGCCAAGUAGCGUGAAGGAUGACUGCCCUACGGGUUGUAAACUUCUUUUAUAAAGGAAUAAAGUGAGGCACGUGUGCCUUUUUGCAUGUACCUUAUGAAUAAGGAUCGGCUAAUUCCGUGCCAGCAGCCGCGGUAAUACGGAGGAUCCGAGCGUUAUCCGGAUUUAUUGGGGUUAAAGGGAGCGUAGAUGGGUUGUUAAGUCAGUUGUGAAAGUUUGCGGCUCAACCGUAGAAUUGCAAUUGAUACUGGCAGUCUUGAGUACAGUAGAGGUAGGCGGAAUUCGUGGUGUAGCGGUGAAAUGCUUAGAUAUCACGAAGAACUCCGAUUGCGAAGGCAGCUUACUAAACUGCCACUGACAUUGAUGCUCGAAGGUGUGGGUAUCAAACAGGAUUAGAUACCCGAGUAGUC